ACGCUGGCGGUAUGCUUACACAUGCAAGUCGAACGGAACUUCGGGUUUAGUGGCGGACGGGUGAGUAACGCGUGAGAAUCUGCCUCUAGGUCGGGGACAACAAUUGGAAACGAUUGCUAAUACCCGAUGUGCAGCAAUGUGAAAGAUUUAUUGCCUAGAGAUGAGCUCGCGUCUGAUUAGCUAGUAGGUGUGGUAAUGGCGCACCUAGGCGACGAUCAGUAACUGGUCUGAGAGGAUGACCAGUCACACUGGGACUGAGACACGGCCCAGACUCCUACGGGAGGCAGCAGUGGGGAAUUUUCCGCAAUGGGCGAAAGCCUGACGGAGCAAUACCGCGUGAGGGACGAAGGCUUUUGGGUCGUAAACCUCUUUUCCCUGAGAAGAAGAUCUGACGGUAUCAGGGGAAUCAGCAUCGGCUAACUUCGUGCCAGCAGCCGCGGUAAUACGAGGGAUGCAAGCGUUAUCCGGAAUUAUUGGGCGUAAAGC
rnacentral:rRNA from 1 species